UAGAAUGAGGGGGGGACCUAAUGUCCUCCCCCCUGGCACCCAGCCCUGAGCGAUGGGUGGGGGCCAGGGGGGAGGACAUUAGGUCCCCCCUAA